rnacentral:rRNA from 1 species
AGAGCGAACGCUGGCGGCAGGCCUAACACAUGCAAGUCGAGCGCCCCGCAAGGGGAGCGGCAGACGGGAGAGUAACACGUGGGAACGUACCCUUCAGUUCGGAACAACCCAGGGAAACUUGGGCUAAUACCGAAUACGUCCGUAAGGAGAAAGAUUUAUCGCUGAAGGAUCGGCCCGCGUCUGAUUAGCUUGUUGGUGAGGUAACGGCUCACCAAGGCUACGAUCAGUAGCUGGUCUGAGAGGAUGAUCAGCCUCACUGGGACUGAGACACGGCCCAGACUCCUACGGGAGGCAGCAGUGGGGAAUAUUGGACAAUGGGCGCAAGCCUGAUCCAGCCAUGCCGCGUGGAUGAUGAAGGCCUUAGGGUUGUAAAGUCCUUUCGACGGGGAAGAUAAUGACGGUACCCGUAGAAGAACGCCCGGCUAACUUCGUGCAGCAGCCGC